UCAAGGAUUUAUUCAACAUGUUAACGGAAGGCUGUAGCAGAAGAAAGUUUACAACUCCAGAGUCUUUAUUCUGACACUUGUUUUCCUUUGUUCUUUGUCCACUUUCAGAGCUUACAGAGUAAGGUGAAAUAUACCUUUACUGAAGACAGAAGGGCUAUGAUUUCAUUUAAAAUUCUUUUGAAGAUGAUUUUUAUUGCUCGGUAGGACAUCCUGCAGUAGUCUGAGGAAAAUAUUCUUUCACUUAGAGAAAGGGUGAACUUCAGAUUCCAUCUUCUUUAUUUUUCAAGUCUAUUCAGACCUUAAUCUCCUUAUGGAACACUCGAGCAUUUUCCGUUUGCUCAUGGACCUUCAUUCCUCAGAUAGCUUUAAGGAUUCCACAAAAUCAAAUGCAACAGUACAGAGAAUGCCAGGAACUUUUGAGCCUUUAUCAGAAGUACCUAGCUGAGCAGCAGGAAAAACUGUCGCUCUCCCUCUCUGAACUCAGUGCUGCCAAGCAGAAGGAGCAGAAGGUAAGGUCUUCUCUCUCAUCUCUGUUUUAAUGAUAUCUUCAGUUAUAACUCUAGAAAAAAUGAAAAGAUGUUUUCAGAGUCCAUUGUCUUGUAUUACACAAGAUUGUAAACUCUUUGUGAUUGGCUUCCCAUGACUCCUUUUCUUAGUACAUGGAUCGCAAGGAAGCAAGAGCCUAUUAGAGGCAAAGUGUGGGGGUGAAAGUAGUUGACCAUGUUGCAGCGUUCUACAAUUGUAGCAUUGUUGACAAUUUUAAAGGCUAUAAAUUUUCACUGUGACUUUUGAUGGUUGAAAAGGAGAUUACAGGUGAUGCGUUUGGUCAAUGUGGGCUUUCUGAAGUUUGUACGGCAGUCCAUCUGACUUGAGCUGUUCAUACAAGACCUAAAAUUGUCAAUGCAGUUAAAAAACAGGAAAUAUUGACUAGGGAUACAAUCUGUUAAAUUAAGUGGUAAAAUGGUUCUCAGUUGUAUGUGCUUACAGACUUAAAAACAUGGUUGCCUGAGAUUUCUUCCAAGAACUAGGUACUACAUUUGCAUCCCUGCUGACAGCUGAUUAUACCCUGGAAAAUAAGGCAAUUCAUGCAAGUACCCUACUUCAUGCUAUUCUUAGCUGCUGUUCUCUUCCCAUUUUUACCCUGUGCAGAUCUCCAUGCAGAAUCUGUCCUACCUAAGACCGUGUCUUUUACAUAUGUUGAGCUCUUGAUCUUUUGCUAAAAGAGUCUUAAAUGCUUAUAAUACGGCUAGAAGUGAAGUCGUCAGCACAAGGUUUCCAGAAGAUAGCUUGAUUUCUGCCCCUCAGUGGUUCUCUGCUAACUAAAUUGCAUAGGCAGUCUGCUUAGUCUGUGAAAAGGCUAAUUUUUAGUUCUUUUCCUCCAACAGGUAGCAACACUUCUAACUUCAUUUUCAUUUUUUUAAGUGUGUAUGUUUUAAGAUAUGUGGCUGGAUUUUGAGCUGUUUGUCAAAUUUUUAGCACCUGUACUCGUUUUACUUUCAUUCUUUUGUACGUUUCUCAGACAUCCCUUUUGUGAUGGUG
rnacentral:lncRNA from 1 species